GAUGUCUCCUGAAGGAUAGUGAAAUGUGAUAAAUCGCAUGCCAUUUAAGACAAUAUCUUUUCAGACAACUGGACCAAAUUCCAUCAGGGCCGCCUUCACGUUGUGCCUGUGCACCUGAGGCUGGGCAUCUGCACAGAGGGAGGAGACUGACCAUUGUGGUGAGCUUUGUCUCACGUCAUUGUGUGAUGUGCUGCCACUGCUGUAAUGAAAACACCUGGACUAUUUAAGCAGAUGAGUGGGUGUGGAAGUAGAAGAGAGGAAGGAAGCAGAGCUGUUUGGGCACUGCCCUGAAGAUUAUUACAAAUCUGAACUUUUAACUUCAAAACUUGUUGCAUGACUUUUGGGUCUCUUUGUAGGAUUCCUUCACCAAAGAUCAAAAUGCAAAAGGUGGAGGAAGACUGGAAAGGAAGUUGUGAGAAAUGCAGAGAGGAUGUGGAGAGGAAUGAAGGGUGAUGUUCCGCUUAGGGAGUCAUAGCACCUCCACCCGAGGCCACUGAGGGGGGCUUUCAAGGAUGCCUUGGCAAAUUUGCAGGUGGGUUCCUCAGCAGGGAUGAAUUAGCACAAUUUGUGUUACAUGCAACACAAGCAGGUUCUGGGUAAACAAGAUAGAAUCAGGGAAUCUUAAGACACGUGUGUGUCUGCGUGGAAGUGAGGUCGCAGGCAGAGAAGGCAG
rnacentral:lncRNA from 1 species